UACGAAGGGGGCUAGCGUUGCUCGGAAUUACUGGGCGUAAAGGGAGCGUAGGCGGAUAGUUUAGUCAGAGGUGAAAGCCCAGGGCUCAACCCUGGAAUUGCCUUUGAUACUGGCUAUCUUGAGUGUGGGAGAGGUUAGCGGAACUCCGAGUGUAGAGGUGAAAUUCGUAGAUAUUCGGAAGAACACCAGUGGCGAAGGCGGCUAACUGGCCCAUUACUGACGCUGAGGCUCGAAAGCGUGGGGAGCAAACAGG
rnacentral:rRNA from 1 species